rnacentral:rRNA from 1 species
GUCUAUGGCCACGCCACCCUGAACACACCCGAUCUCAUCUGAUCUCGGAAGCUAAGCAGGGUCGGGCCUGGUUAGUACUCGGAUGGGAGACCACCUAGGAAGACCAGGUGCUGUAGGCA